ACGGGAGGCAGCAGUGGGGAAUAUUGGACAAUGGGGGAAACCCUGAUCCAGCGACGCCGCGUGAGUGAAGAAGUAUUUCGGUAUGUAAAGCUCUAUCAGCAGGGAAGAUAAUGACGGUACCUGACUAAGAAGCUCCGGCUAAAUACGUGCCAGCAGCCGCGGUAAUACGUAUGGAGCAAGCGUUAUCCGGAUUUACUGGGUGUAAAGGGAGCGUAGGCGGAAGGCUAAGUCUGAUGUGAAAACCCAGGGCUCAACCUUGGGACUGCAUUGGAAACUGGUUUUCUAGAGUGUCGGAGGGGUAAGUGGAAUUCCUAGUGUAGCGGUGAAAUGCGUAGAUAUUAGGAGGAACACCAGUGGCGAAGGCGGCUUACUGGACGACAACUGACGCUGAGGCUCGAAAGCGUGGGGAGCAAACAGGAUUAGAUACCCUGGUA
rnacentral:rRNA from 1 species